UCAAAAAGGCCGGAAUAGC
rnacentral:tRNA from 1 species